rnacentral:antisense_RNA from 1 species
GGAGAAUCUGAGACUUCUGAAGAGUUUCUUGCUUCUUUCCUGUGGGGCAGUGACUCCACUUCCCAGCAGUAAUGGAAUAUCCUGAAUUAGCUACAUUAAUGUUAGAACCAUUUGGACCUCACCCAGGACUUCAACUACAUUGUGCUAAAGUUACAGAAUCCAAAUUUGGCAACUGCCUGCAUCUGAACAACAGAAGUUUCAACAUUCUGCCAACAGAGUAACUCCUGGACGACUGGCACAGAAGAAGGCACAAGGCAAAUACCCAUCUCUGUACACCCUGUGCUACUGUGUCAUGUGCUGCUCCAGGCAACUCCAAUGGAUUGGCCACCCUGGCCAAUGUGCCCUCCAAACACCAGCACUGAGUAGAAAGAGGCUCUGAUUCAUGAAAUGUGAAUUUAUGACAGUUGCCACUCUUUAAAAAAAAACAGACAGAACUUGAGCAAUACAUGACUGAUGCAUUCUCAGCCUGCUUCCUGUGUUCCAUCUGUCUUUCUGGCAGUGCAUUCACCCUCCAGGUUCUAGUAUGUUAGGUUUAUGUUCCCCUGCUUUCUACAAUCCUGUUCAAAGAGUUGCUGACUUAACCACAGAGAGAAUUCCAGAACAUGAGACACAGAAUAAACUUGAACAAUCAUAGUCCAUCCACUUCAUUUUCUCAUCGAAAACCAAAGGUCCAGUGAGGCUCUGGAACUCGACGCUGUAAAGGAGCGAAGGAGCAUCUAUACAGAACCUGGAUGCCUGUCUCCUUAUCCUACUUCAGCGGACUUGACUGCAAUCCGGAUUAUGCUGUUUUCUAAGCAUUUAAAAUAAAA